rnacentral:rRNA from 1 species
UACGAAGGGGGCUAGCGUUGUUCGGAAUUACUGGGCGUAAAGGGCGCGUAGGCGGUGCUUCAAGUCAGGCGUGAAAGCCCCGGGCUCAACCUGGGAACCGCGCUUGAGACUGGAGCACUCGAGUUCGGGAGAGGAUGGUGGAAUUCCCAGUGUAGAGGUGAAAUUCGUAAGAUAUUGGGAAGAACACCGAUGGCGAAGGCAGCCAUCUGGACCGACACUGACGCUGAGGCGCGAAAGCGUGGGGAGCAAACAGGAUUGAGAUACCCGGUAGUAAGUCCGAGAGCCAAUCCCAU